CUUUUUGGAGAGAUUGAUCCUGGCUCAGGACGAACGCUGGCGGCGUGCCUAAUACAUGCAAGUCGAGCGGAUCUAAAGGAGCUUGCUCCUUUAGAUUAGCGGCGGACGGGUAAGUAACACGUGGGCAACCUGCCCUGCAGAUUGGGAUAACUCCGGGAAACCGGGGCUAAU
rnacentral:rRNA from 1 species